AACCCGACUUUUGGUUUUCUUUUGUUUCCUACUUGUAUUUUCCCUUGCUGAUGAACUUUAUCAAUAUUUUUAAAAAUCCUGUUGUAAUACAUGAAUUUACAUGACCCACGUCACAUCCUCUUUAGAAGUAGACAGUCUAUGUAACUGACCACACUACUACCUUAGUUAUUUAUUAGCAGAGGAAGGCAGUACAAACAAUGAAUAUUACUCCCUGUUGAAAACACUGUCUCUGACCAUUUUAGAGCACAUGAAGGAAGAGUGGACUCAAGCUCGGCCUGGCUUACCAGGUUUCUUGACUGUGAUGAUCUACAAGAGCAGGUCUGCGUCUUACAUACACUGAAAAUGAAGAAUUCAGAACUCAAUUCUAAACUUAAGCCAAGGUGCAAAAGAAGGAAGAAAAGAUCAAGGAACUCAGAACAGAAUUCCAGCAAAACUGAACCCAGGUUACUUCACUUAGCAUAAGUACUUAUUCAAGCCUGGGGAUGGGUGCUUCUGCCUGAGACUGGAUAUCAUUUGCCUCUGAGCCAUCACAUUAUGGUUUAUUAAACAAAUCUGAGAGUCAGCUUCUUGAGGAUAAGGAUGAAUCAAACAGCCACAUGGACCUUCUAAUAAAAUGAAACUGGAACACAAGUAAACAUUUAAAUAUGAAACCAGAGACACCAGAAAUCACUUAUGGUAAGGUUCCAAAU
rnacentral:lncRNA from 9 species